rnacentral:rRNA from 1 species
AGGCUUGUAUGAAUGGUUGGACAAAAAGUAAUCUGUCUCAAUUGUAAUAGUUGAACUUAACUUUUAAGUGAAAAGGCUUAAAUACUUUAAGGGGACGAUAAGACCCUAUAAAACUUGACAAUAAAUUAGUUAAAUUAUAAAUUGUUAGUAUAACUUGAUCUUAAUUAAUGUUUGUUGCGUUGGGGCGACGGGAAUAUAAUUAGUAACUGUUCUUAAAUACUUAUUAACAAGUAUAAUUGAAAAAUAAUUGAUCCUUUAUUAAAGAUUAAAAGAUUAAGUUACUUUAGGGAUAACAGCGUAAUCU